rnacentral:lncRNA from 1 species
UACUGCUCCUGGAGGCGGCUUUUGACUGGGUGCUCUAAUGCAGUGAAGCUCAGGCAGCAGGCAGGAGCGGCUGAGAACUCUGCAAGAGCCGCAGCCCCAGCAGCAGCAGCAGCAGCAGCAACAGCCACCGGGAGACCCAGCCCAGAGCCAUGCAUAGCAGGGCUUGGCAGAGGCAAAGGUUGGCUGCAAAGUUUGGGACCACACCUUCGAUGAUGAAGGCAAUUGGGAAGCAUAAUCCACCCAGGUGGACCUACAGGGAGUUUUGUUUCUUGAGACCAAAUCACCAGUGUGGAUCCAUUAAGAAGCUAGUGAUUUGGAGGAAUUCCCAGAUAUUCUUUCUUGGAUACCAUCUGUAAGUUCAAAAGUGGUGAUAGAGAUGAACAAAAUUUUCCUGUUCUGUCUGUGUUACCAGAACAUUGUUUUUUGACUUUACAUUAUUUUUUGUCAUUCUUCCCUGUUUCCACAACAUGUAUUUUCCUACUGAUCCUUGUUUCCUGAACUGUACACCUUGCUCUCCAUGUUAUCAGCCAAAAUCUCUUGGACGUUCACAGUGUGCCAAGCACAGUGCCUUUAUAGCAAAAUGAUAAAAUAAAGUAAAAUCAAAAAAUAGAGGCA